GAUAGGACUGAAAUACAGAAGUGCUACCUCAAGAGGAUGUGACCAGAUACACUGCAAGGCAGAGGCAAGAUUUUUCCCAACAUUUUUGUGCUGGUGAGCCUUGAAGUGAGAGACAGAGCUCCCAACCUGUUAAAAGCCAAACUGAAGCAAAGUGGAGCUCCCCAGGAUCUCGGCCCUGGGCGUCUCGCCCUGAAGCAGAAGACAACAUUGUCACUGAAAACAGCAAGUUCCCAUUCACAGUUAUGUCUCAUGUUAAUUACUACAGACAAAAUUCUCCUUGAUCUCAAUCACACGGGUCACAACAGAGAAGUUUAGCACUUCAGAACAUCGAGCUUUGCUUUCAUCUGCAUGCAGGACAUCACUCUGAAAUUGCUUUUAAUCAAUUAAGG